rnacentral:rRNA from 1 species
CCUACGGGAUGCAGCAGUGGGGAAUCUUGCGCAAUGGGCGAAAGCCUGACGCAGCGACGCCGCGUGGGUGACGAAGGCCUUCGGGUCGUAAAACCCUGUUGCAGGGGACGAAGGAUGUGACGGUACCCUGCCAGAAAGCCCCGGCUAACUACGUGCCAGCAGCCGCGGUAAAACGUAGGGGGCGAGCGUUGUCCGGAAUUACUGGGCGUAAAGGGCGUGUAGGCGGUUAGGUCAGUCGAAUGUGAAAUCCCACGGCUCAACCGUGGAACUGCGUUCGAUACUGCCUGACUUGAGUAUGUGAGAGGUGUGUGGAAUUCCUGGUGUAGCGGUGGAAUGCGUAGAUAUCAGGAGGAAUACCAGUGGCGAAGGCGGCCUGCUGGACAUCAACUGACGCUGAUGCGCGAAAGCGCGGGGAGCAAACAGGAUUAGAUACCCUAGUA